rnacentral:rRNA from 1 species
CCUGGUUGAUCCUGCCAGUAGUCAUAUGCUUGUCUCAAAGAUUAAGCCAUGCAUGUGUAAGUACAAGCCGAGUUAAGGCGAAACCGCGAAUGGCUCAUUAAAUCAGCUAUGUUUCAUUGGAUCUGUAAACCCACUUACUUGGAUAACUGUGGUAAUUCUAGAGCUAAUACAUGCAUCACGUCUCUGACCGCAAGGGAAGAGCGCUUUUAUUAGUUCAAAACUGGUCGGGCCUCGGUCCGUUAACCCACCCGUGGUGAAUCUGAAUAACUUUUUGCUGAGCGCACGGUCUCCGCACCGGCGCCGCAUCCUUCAAGUGUCUGCCUUAUCAGCUUUCGAUUGUAGGUUAUGCGCCUACAAUGGCUAUAACGGGUAACGGGGAAUCAGGGUUCGAUUCCGGAGAGGGAGCCUGAGAAACGGCUACCACAUCUAAGGAAGGCAGCAGGCACGCAAAUUACCCACUCCCGGCACGGGGAGGUAGUGACGAAAAAUAACGAUGCGAGACUCAUCCGAGGCCUCGCAAUCGGAAUGAGUACACUUUAAAUCCUUUAACGAGGAUCUAUUGGAGGGCAAGUCUGGUGCCAGCAGCCGCGGUAAUUCCAGCUCCAAUAGCGUAUAUUAAAGUUGUUGCGGUUAAAAAGCUCGUAGUUGGAUCUCAGUUCCGGACUGACGGUACACCGCCUGGUGCUUACUGUCACGCUCCGAACAGCUAACUAGCCCCGCCGGCUCGCACGGGGUGCUCUUCAUCGAGUGUCCCGAGUGGCCGGCACGUUUACUUUGAAAAAAUUAGAGUGCUCAGAGCAGGCUACUUUAAUGGCCUGAAUGUCUAUGCAUGGAAUAAUGGAAUAGGACCUCGGUUCUAUUUUGUUGGUUUUCGGAACCUGAGGUAAUGACUAAUAGGAACAGGCGGGGGCAUUCGUAUUGCGACGCUAGAGGUGAAAUUCUUGGACCGUCGCAAGACGAACUACUGCGAAAGCAUUUGCCAAGGAUGUUUUCAUUAAUCAAGAACGAAAGUUAGAGGUUCGAAGGCGAUCAGAUACCGCCCUAGUUCUAACCAUAAACGAUGCCAACUAGCGAUCCGCCGGCGUUAUUCCCAUGACCCGGCGGGCAGCUUCCGGGAAACCAAAGUCUUUGGGUUCCGGGGGAAGUAUGGUUGCAAAGCUGAAACUUAAAGGAAUUGACGGAAGGGCACCACCAGGAGUGGAGCCUGCGGCUUAAUUUGACCCAACACGGGGAACCUCACCAGGCCCAGACACCGGAAGGAUUGACAGAUU